rnacentral:rRNA from 1 species
CCUACGGGUGGCUGCAGUGAGGAAUAUUGGUCAAUGGACGAGAGUCUGAACCAGCCAAGUAGCGUGAAGGAUGACUGCCCUAUGGGUUGUAAACUUCUUUUAUAUAGGAAUAAAGUGAUCCACGUGUGGGAUUUUGUAUGUACUAUAUGAAUAAGGAUCGGCUAACUCCGUGCCAGCAGCCGCGGUAAUACGGAGGAUACGAGCGUUAUCCGGAUUUAUUGGGUUUAAAGGGAGCGUAGGUGGAUUGUUAAGUCAGUGGUGAAAGGUUGCGGAUCAACCGUAAAAUUGCAGUUGAUAGUGGCAGUCUUGAGUACAGUAGAGGUGAGCGGAAUUCGUGGUGUAGCGGUGAAAUGCUUAGAUAUCACGAAGAACUCCGAUUGCGAAGGCAGCUUACUGGACUGCCACUGACACUGAGGCUCGAAAGUGUGGGUAUCAAACAGGAUUAGAUACCCCUGUAGUC